rnacentral:rRNA from 1 species
AGAGUUUGAUCCUGGCUCAGGAUAAACGCUGGCGGCGUGCAUAACACAUGCAAGUCGAACGAUGAAACUUAGAAGAUUUCUUCGGAAUGAUUUUAAGUGGAUUAGUGGCGAACGGGUGAGUAACACGUGAGUAACCUGCCUUACACAAGGGGAUAGCCUUUGGAAACGAAGAAUAAUACCCUAUAAAGUCAAUUUAUCGCAUGAUAGAGUGACCAAAGAUUUAUCGGUGUAAGAUGGACUUGCGUCUGAUUAGCUAGUUGGUGAGAUAAAAGCUCACCAAGGCGACGAUCAGUAGCCGGCUUGAGAGAGUGUACGGCCACAUUGGGACUGAGACACGGCCCAAACUCCUACGGGAGGCAGCAGUGGGGAAUUUUGCACAAUGGGGGAAACCCUGAUGCAGCGACGCCGCGUGAUUUAGAAGGCCUUCGGGUUGUAAAAAUCUUUUUUACGGGAUGAAAAUGACAGUACCGUAAGAAUAAGGUCCGGCUAAAUACGUGCCAGCAGCCGCGGUAAUACGUAUGGACCGAGCGUUGUCCGGAAUCAUUGGGCGUAAAGGGUACGUAGGCGGCCUAGUAAGUUAGAAGUGAAAUAAUAUAGCUCAACUAUAUAAAGCUUUUAAAACUGCUAGGCUUGAGAGAUGGAAGGGAAAGUGGAAUUCCUAGUGUAGCGGUGAAAUGCGCAGAUAUUAGGAAGAAUACCGGUGGCGAAGGCGACUUUCUGGUCAUCAUCUGACGCUGAGGUACGAAAGCGUGGGUAGCAAACAGGAUUAGAUACCCUGGUAGUCCACGCUGUAAACGAUGAGUGUUAGGUUCUUGGAAUAAUCUGGGAGCCGCAGCUAACGCAUUAAACACUCCGCCUGGGGAGUACGCACGCAAGUGUGAAACUCAAAGGAAUUGACGGGGACCCGCACAAGCAGCGGAGCAUGUG